UUUGACAGAACACUGCCAGGCCCAAACCCCCUUGUAAUUGUCUCUUAGUCUAAGACUGAGGAAAGCUUAAAAUGUUUAUCAGGAUCCAAGAGAAGUCCUUGGUUUGAUAUCUAGUGUCUUGAAUAUUUGAUAUGGGCCUGAAUAGAUUGGAGUUUUUCUCUGGAAACCUUUUAUGGCUUUUGUCUGCUAGAAGUUUAAGGAUUUGAAUGCUAUCAUGUUCACAGACCCCUUUAGAAGGGGACAGAGAAGGAGAUUAUCAGCAUACUGCAAGAAAGAAGAUCCUUGGAGGGAAAAAAAUGUCUGUUAAAUCUGUCUUCAGUAUCUAUGAAAAGAGGGACUUUCAGUAUAGGCAUUACUCUCCAGGUAUAUUGUUGUCCUUCCCAUGUAACAGCAAAUAAAAAUUGACUCACAGGGUUCACAAGAAUGCUUUUUUGAAAAGCACUACCAUGACCUAUUACUGUGAAAAACUUGCUUUCUGUGAAGAUGGAAGUAAGGAAGUUAUGGGGAUUUGAAAUGACAGCAUCAAGGAAUGACAAUGUUAUUAGUGGCUCUUAGGUCUUGUACAACUCUUCAUCCUCAUUCAUGAGGUUUAUUUAUGGGAAGGAUAGGGGUUUUGCAGAUGCUUGUGUGAGGCACUAUAAGAUGAUUGGCUUUAUAUUCUUCUAUACUUGGUUUAAUUAUAAACCAAUUGAAUGAAAAAGCAAUAAAGCAAGGGCUUCAGGGUUUAUGGGGUAUUGUCUGAUAUUAGGAAGGGGCUUGUUUGGGUCAAUUUGAAUUUUUUAGUGGGGAAGCCAAAUGGAUUCAUCCAAUGUCUGUUGUGAUUUAGCCAAAAGGUCCUCAAAAACCUCUUUUAAAAGAGCUAAUCUCUCAUUUUUGUUAUUUAGAUUAAGGGCAAAAUUGGACAAAGAUGUUGAGGAAUUUUCACUGUUGUCAGUUAAAGUAAGGGUUGUGUCCAUUCCAAGAACACUCUCCCCCUUUUGGGAAAAGGAAAUGGCAGCGUGACAUUUUUAAGUCCCUUCAGAGUAAAUUAACUGGGGUCAAAGGAGCUAGAAAAAAGAAUGACUGUCCUGUCGAAGAUUUAAUUGAAAAAGCAAGGGUAAAGAUUUGUAAACUGUUAUAGGUGUAUUAGAAACUCCCACCAUUUGAAUGUUCUCAAUACUCCAAGGAAGGGGCUGCUUGAGGCAGGUGAGGUUAUGCACAGGGAGUUGCUCCAAUGCCAGUAAUGACAGUGAGAACCUCUUUUUCAGUCAUUAGGAAUAUUUUGCCCAAAUGAUUAAGAGGCAAAUUUGGAAAAAUCAACUGUGUUUUCUCAGACCACUGUCAGUCCAUAAGCAACAUAGAGGGCAGUUUAUUAAGGGGACUUUUAGCAGGUUUUAAUUGUAUACUUUUUUUCAAUGUCCAGACUUUUUGCAGUAGUGGCAAACCCAUUUAAGAUUUGGUUUUAUGAAAAGGAUGAGAUCAUGUUCUUUGCAGGAAUAUGGAUGGUGCUGGAGGCUAUUAUCCUUAGCAAACUUAGGAACAAAAAAACAAAUGCCACAUGUUCUCACUUGUAAGUGUAAGCUAAAUGAUGAGAACUCAUAAACACAAAGAAGGGAACAACUGACACUGGGUCCUACUUGAGUGUGGAGGGUGGGAGGAGAAAGAGGAGCAGAAAAAAAUAACUAUUGAGUACUAGGCUUAGUACCUGGAUGAUGAAACAAUCUGUGCAACAAACCCCGUGACACAAUUUACCUAUAUAACAAACCUGCACAUGUACCUCCAAACCUAAAAACAAGUUUUAAAGGUUUGGCUUAUGGCAUUAGACUGCCAUGUUUUAUUAUAAAGGGUAUUUUCUUUGCCCUUGCUUUAUUGGUCAUAGAAAUUUUUCAGGUUAACUUGUUGUCCAGGUUAACUAAGUCAGAGGUGGAUAUUGUUUCCCAAUUAAGUUGAGCCAAUUUAACUAGAAUUACAAGCUCUUCAGCUAGGCCAUUUAUAAACGUAGAAUUAAAGACCACUUUGGUAGAUUCCACAUCCAAGGGAGUCCAGUUUUCCUCAAAACUGUUUCAAGUCUGUUGUAAUAAUCAGGUACUGCCUCACCUUCCUUUUGAGCACCAGCCAGAAUACUGUUCUAUUCUAGUGGCUUAGGGAAUGCUAAAGGAAUGCCUUCAUGUAAAUUUUUGGCUCUUUCUUGGGCAUUUCCCCUAUUGGGAGGCAUAUUGUGUUGGAUAUCAGUUAGAUGAUUGUUCCUACCUGCUUUUGCCAUCCAGUGUUGUGGCUGACCUUCUCCAACAAGCAUGUGCUUUAAUUGGUAAAGGUCAGAGAAACCAGGUUCAUAAGACUGGAUAACAAUUUGAAACUCUUCAGCAAAUUCAUGAGGGCUCUCAGUAACUUUGGGGAACUCUUUAACUAUAGGCCUAGGUUCAGCUUUUGUCCAAGGUGUUUGGAAAUGUUUAAGAGAGGGCCAUUAUUAUUUGGAUGGAGCUUAAAUAGGUGAAUUUGAAUAGGUUUAGAAGAAUGAGGGAAUCAAGGGAAGCUUUGGGAUGAUAAGAACAGAAGUUCAGCAAGUACAGGAUAUAGAGACUGAGGAGCAGGAGAAGUAGAAAAAUGAGAGUAAGGGGAAGAAACCUGGGCCUUGAGGACUUUUCCUUUCUUUCAAUUUUUUUAUUCACCUUUGUGAGUUUAGAGACUUUGUUUUGGAGGGAGGCAAUUUUAGAGUCCUGAAUGAGUUUGGACACUUCUAAAUCUAAUUAAAAUCAGCACCUCAUUUAGGUUUUAUUGUUUUAAAACCAUGGUCUUCUCCAUUUAGUUCAGAGAAAACCUAGUUUAAAUAAAUCAAAGGAACACCAAUUUGGCCAUUGUAAUUUCAAAAUGUCUUUUAUGUAAAAGGUCCAUGGUUCCAGAUAAACACAUGUGGAGAGUCCAUAAUUUUUGAACAUAUAACUAUCUUGAAUCCCAGAAGGGGGACAAUAAUUACAAAGAUUAGAAUUAAAGAAUCCCAUAUUUAUAAUGCUAAUUUUACUCAUCAAUGGAAGAACUCCUAACCAAUAUGAAAUUUUCUGACAAAAGCAGGAAAACUCCUGCACAAGGUAAGAGCUUUUGCCAGAACAAUUGGAACAGCUGUUCCCAAACUCUCAAAGGCAUUGUCCUCAACUAAAGGGAAGGAGGAUGGGGCCUGAGAGGACUUACCAAUGACCAUAUCAGCAAUCCGAAGAGAUGGAGAGCAUAAGGAGCUCUUUCUUGUGGGUACGUCACCUGAUUUCAGAAAACAGAGGUCCACUGGAAGGUAAAAUCACUUAAGGUCUGACUUCUGUAAUCCAGCUAUGUUAACUAAAAUAUAUAUUGAUACAAAAUUCAGAGAAAAUACCAUUUAUUUGAAAAACAAAGAAUUGCAACCCAGGUACACAAAGUCAGGGCAACCCUGAAUAACACACCCAGAGACAAGCACAGGAAAGCUUUAUUUAAAUGGGAAUGAUUUCCACACACACAAAAAAAUGUUGUUUUCAGAGGCAGUUUACUGUCUGGGCAGAAAUCCUAAAUUGCAAACCCAUUCUGAUUGGUAAAUUAGGGUAUUCCCAGCUGAGAUAUGUUGAAAACUGGAGGAUACUGACGUCUGUUGUUAUCCAAAUAUAUUGGAACAUCCUGUGGCUUUAUUUUUAACAGGUAGGUGUGCAAUCCUCUCACAGUAUCCUGACUCUAAAGCCGUAGCCUUAAGUAUUUCAUUUUCUUUCACACCCACACUAGUGAAGGUUUAAUAAACUAAAAUAGGAUGUACAUAACAGGGGCCAAAUAGAAAGAGGAGUUAGUGAAAAAUUACAAAGGCUUGGUACUUUCAGUUGUUGGGGAGAUUUUUAGAGGCCUUUUUUCCUCCGGCUGAUUAUUUUUGGUGGCUAAGGAAAGAAAAUUUCAAAUAAAUGAACCUUUAAACUGAUACUCUUAACAUCCAUAUUUGAAGGGAAAAACAUCUGAGCCCCAUUUUCCAUGAUAUCUCUAAUAUUCAUCUGACAAUCUAUAGGUGCUUAAUGAGUAAUCAAUUAUAACAUGUUAUAAAAUCUUCAGUUUCAUUUGUCUUUCUGUUUGGCUUUUGUCUCUAAGUCUUGACUUUUCUUCAUCUCUGUCUAAACCUUCCAUUUGCUCAAAGUGCUGAAAACAGUCAACAAAUAAAUUUGUGUGGGCAAGUGGGAAUGAUAACUCUACUGACUACCCCACUGAAUUCACCUGAUUCAUGUUAGUGUUGGUUUGGCUUCUGAGACUAAUGAGCUUUGUCAUAAUCCAGGCUCUAAGUAAGAAUUAAGUCUCAAUGGGUAGAAAGAAUGCCUGGUUAAAAGACACCAGAAUGCCACAUACCACAAGAUUAAGGAAAAUGGAUUGAUGACUCAUAGCAUGCCCACACUGGUGCCAGAAGUUGUAAUGAAGGGAAGAAUUAGUCAAGACUAACCAAGAAGAAUAGGGCAAGUGAAGGGAUGUAUGCUAUUGGAUCUGAAUAAAUCAGAGUGUUUCCCAAAGAUUGUUCUUCAUUUCCUCCUCAGACUAGUAAUGGCUGACAGAGACAAUUUAUGUUCAUGUUGUCUAGUUGUUUAACAGAAAAGAUUGGCCAUGGGACAUGGCUUGAUGACUUGGGCAAUGAUUUAGAAUAUGUGAAAAUGAAUAGUUCCUCAAGAAAUGUCAGCAACUGGGCCUAUAACACACAAUCUACUUUAAAAUCUCACUCUGUUUUCUAGGUAUGCAAUAGGUCUUUUCCACUUCUUAAUUGGUUGAGCUACAACAGAAUGUAAAGUAGAACUAAAGAUAAGCAUGAAAAUAGAUCAUGGACCAAGGAGUAGGAAAAGAAAGAAUACUUGGGUUUUGGAAGCUGCAGUGAGACUUUGCAUCUGAGGUAGAGGAAAAGUGGUUUGUGGAAAAAGCACUGAACUUGGAUUGUGUGGAUUCAAAUUCUGUCUCCACGUCUUACUAGCUUUGAGAUUACUUAGUCUUUGAUAAGUUUAUGAAAUGGGAAGAAUAUAAUAAUCUUUGUCUUGCAGGACUAUUGUGAGGAUCUAAUUAAGUCAUGGAUGUGGAAGAGCUUUCGAAAUUGUAAAGUGAAGGGGAAGGUAUUGUUGUUGUCUGGGACAUCUCCACGCAUACUGGCUACAAGGGCACUGUGGAGAAAAAGGAGAAAUCCUCUCCCUCAGGGGAGCUGUAUCCAGUGAACUCCUACAGCUGUCAGCCUCUAAUCAAUCCUCUUGGGAAGUCCAAAGUUUGUGUGAAACCUCAGUGGCAUGUAGUACUAAAGAUUACUAACUAAUUUACCUUUCCUUUUGGUUUUCUUCCUCCAAAUGUAGGCUUUUAAAGGAAACUUGCUCUUUUAUUCCCUUUAAAUCUUUCCAACUGACCUCCAGAAAGCUGACAUAAUAGUUUUAAGCAGAUUAUGCCUUGCUGUCCUAAUAUCAGGCAGUAUUAUAUUGGCAUUGUUUACCAGUUUUGAGAAUGUAGCCCAAACACUUUCAUUCAGGCCUCUCCAUGACAAGUAACAUAUUUGCGAGAUUGCUACCUACAGUUGAGGGGUUAGCUUGUGAUUCUAGAACAAGGGGAACAUGUAAGAUUUAAAUGCAGUGGUUUGGCAUUAGGAGCAUGAUGUUCUAACCAACUCUUUGAAUUUAAUUUUAAGCUUCCAGGAACCAUAUUAUAGGAUGACAUAAAAUGUUGGCUAUAAAUAAAGAUCUUUGAGGUCAUCUACUCCAAAAGAAACAAGAAAGCACAGUCCCAGAGUGGAGUCAGAGACUUGGUUUUAAUGGCAGAGUUGGAACUGAAGCUAAAGUUGCCUUAUUUUCGAUGUAGUAUUUCUUAUUCUGUUUCCAUUGAAUUAUUUUCACUUUAAGUACAGGACCACCUCCUUUCUCUAUGCCUAUUUCUGGACAAAUUGUCACUGAAUCAGGCAAAUUAUCCAAGAAGCAUGUUGCCAACUGUUUGAUAAUUUAGAGAUGUCAGAUAGCUGUCAAAGAGUGGGCCUAAAAAUUUAACUUUUCACAGGCUAUAUUUUUGUUUUCCCCUUUUUAUUACAUUUUCAUCGAAAGCUGUGACUACCGUAUUGUAUCCAUACCUUUUCUUACAUUUUAUAGUCUUUAUCAAGUUUGGCUGUAGCAUAUGCAUUCCAGUUGAUAUUAGAGUUUACAUGAGUUCAGUUGCUUCCUCUGAAAAAUAAAAAGGGGUGGAAAAUAAAUGGUAUUUGGAAAAAAUGACCUCAAAGAUUCUAGCUUUAGCAUUCUAUGAUUUUAGGAUUUAAAUAUUUUUUCAUUGUAGGGUUUUUGACAAUUCCCAAUUUUUCAUUAAUAAAAAUAUCAAUCAUUUUGUACAAAUAUUUUUUAAUUUAUUUAUAAGUGUUUCCUUAGGCUACAUUCCAAAAGUGAGAUUGCUGGGUUAAAGAGCAAGCUGACUUUUUAAUGACCUCUCAAUGCAUAAUGCCAAACUGCUCUCUAUAAAGAUUUAUACUGCCUAGUUAUAUCAUUAUAGCAGUUCAUAAUUGUUCCUGCUUCUUGACAACCUUUCCAACAUUGGUUCCUUUAUUAUUAUUUUAUUUUUUAUUUGUCCAGACUUAACAGAUACAAGUGUAGUGUUUUUACAUGGAUAUAUCGUGUAGUGGUGGAGUCUAAACUUCUAGGGUAGGCAUCACCUGAAUAAUGAACAUUGUACCCAUUAAGUAAUUUCUCAUCCCCCUCCCCCUCCCACACUCCCACCAUUUCAAGUCUCCAGUGUUUAUUAAUUUACAUUCUAUGUCCCUGUGAUCACACUACUUAGCCCCUUCUUUUAUAAGUGAGAACAUGUGGUAUUUGAUUUUGUUUCUGAGUUGUUACACUUAAGAUAAUGGCCUCCAGUUCCAUUCAUGUUGCUCCAAAAGACAUGAUUUUAUUAUUUUUUAUGGCUGAAUAGUAUUCCACUCUGUGUGUGUGUAUAUAUAUAUAUAUAUAUAUAUAUAUCAUUUACUUUAUCCAAUAAUCAGUUGACAAGCAGGUUGAUUCCAUAUCUUUGUUAUAGUGAAGAGUACUGUGAUAAACAUAUGAGUGCAGGUAGCUUUUUUAUAUAAUGAUUACCUCUGGGUAGAUACCCAGUAGUAGAAUUGCUGGAUCGAAUAGUAGUUCUAGUUUUAGUUCUUUGAGAAAUCUCCAUGCUGUUCUCCAUAGAGGCUGUAGUAAUUUACAUUCCCACCAACAGUGUAUAAGUGUUCUCUUUUUGCUGCAUCCUCACCAACAUGUUAUUUUUUAACUUUUUGGUAAUAGGCAUCCUAACUGAUGUAAAAUUGCUGGGUCUGACCCACAGACCCUGGCCGAACGAUGGAUGAACAAAUGCACUCCAACACAGAUAUCCAGUGAAAGAGUGGGCUAGGGGACCAGGCCGCUCACAGAAAGAGUUGUAGCAGCCGUGGCCCUGACAAGCUGGCACUGUGGGCAUUUAUUUAGUACAGAUUUAAUGACAAAGGCCUUGAGUUAACACACUUGUGGGUAAUUAACAUGGUUGCCCCCCCCCACCACCUCCCAAGACAGCAGUCCUGUGUGCAAAUGAUUAAAGGCCAGGUUCUGAGGCCUAAGUAAACUAACUUUUCUAGAUCAGUUUCUUUACAUCCCCUUGUUAUCCAACCUAAUCUUUCAGGCACUGGAUAAGAGAAUUUGGCUGCCCUUAGCUAUAUCCUUUUCCAAAGCUCUUGUAAAACCACCCAGCCUUUGAAGAAGGUUUGCAUCUUUCUACAACUUUUCCCACCACCCUGACCAAUCUCCUACAUAAAAUGAUAUCUCAUUGUGGUUUAAAUUUGCAUUUCUCUGAUUAGCAAUGUUGAACAUUUUUUUCAUAUGCUUAUUGGCCAUUUGCAUGUCUUUUGAGAAAUGUCUGUUCAUGUUCUUUGCCCACUUUUUAAUGGGCUUAUUGGGUUUGUGGUUGUUGUUGAGUUCUUUGUAAAUCCUGAAUAUUAGUCCCAAUUAAUAUUUUGAACUAAUGGUUCAAAAAUAUUUUUUCCCAUUCUGUAGGUUGUAUGUUCACUCUGAUUAUUUCUUUUGCUGUGCAGAAGUUUUUUAGUUUACUUAAAUCCCAUUUGUCUAUUUUUGGUUUUGUUGCUUGUGCUUUUGAGAUCUUAAUCAUGAAUUAUUUGCCUAGACCAAUGUCCAAGAGAACUUUCCCUAGGUUUUCUUCAAGUAUUUUUAUUGUUUGAGGUUGUAUUAGUCCAUUUUCAUGCUGCUAAUAAAGACAUACCUGAGACUGGGAAGAAAAGGAGGUUUAUUUUGACUUACAGUUCCACAUGGCUGGGGAGGUCUCACAAUCAUGGAGGAGGGCUAAAGGCACUUCUUACAUGGCAGCAGCAAAAGAAAAUGAGGAAGAAGCAAAAGCAGAAACCCCUGAUAAACCCAUCAGAUCUCAUUAGAUUUAUUCACGACCACAAGAAUAUCACAAGUAACACCAGCCCCCAUGAUUCAAUUACCUCCCACUGGGUCCCUAUUCUGCAUAUGGAAAUCUAAUUUUCCCAGAACUGUGUAUUGAAAAGGGUAUCCUUUCCCCAGUGUAUGUUUUGUCAACUGUGUCAAAGAUCAGUUGGCAUACAUAUGUGGCUUUAUUUGUGAGUUCUCAACUGUUCCAUUGGUCUAUGUGUCUAUUUUUACACCAGUACCAUGCUGUGUUUGUUACUAUAGCCUUGUAGUAUAUUUUGAAGUUAGGUAAGUGUAGUAUAUUUUGAAGUUUUUUGAUGGAGUCUUGAGGGUUUUCUAGAUAUAAGCUUACAUCAUCAGCAAGGAGAGAUAAUUUGACUUCUUCUUUUCCACUUUGGAUGUCUUUUAUUUCUUUUCUUGCCUGAUUUCUCUGGCUAGCUAGGAUUUCUAGUACAAUCUUAAAUAGGAGAGGUAAAAGUGAGCAUCCUUAUCUUGUUCCUGUCUUAGGGGGAAUGCUUUCAACUUUUCCCCUUCAGUAUCAUGUUGACUGUACAUUUGUUGUAUAUGGCCAUUAUUAUUUUGAGGUAUGUUUUUUCUAUGCCUACUUUGCUAAGGGUUUUUAUCAUGAAGGGAGGCUGAAUUUUAUUAAAUGUCUUUUCUAAUCUAUUCUAAUGGCCCUAUGUUUUUACCCUUAAUUGUUUGUGUGAUGAAUCACAUUUAUUGAUUUGUAUAUUUGAACCAUCCUUGAAUCCCUGGAAUAAAACCCACUUGAGUAUUCUCUUUUUGAUGUGUUGCUGGAUUCAGUUUGCUAGUAUUUUUUUCUUGAGGAUUUUUGCAUCUAUUUUCAUCAGGGAUAUUGGCCCAUGAUUUUCUUUUUUUGUUGUGUCUUUGCCUGGUUUUAGAAUCAGAGUGAUGCUGGCUUCAUAGAAUGAGAGGAAGAAUUCUCUCCUCCAUUUUUUAAAACUGUUUCAGGAAAAUCGGUACCAGUUCUUCUUUUCACAUUUGGUAGAAUUCAUCUGUGAAUCCACGUGUCCUGGGCUUUUUUUCUGUUCUUGUUGGGAGACUUUUUUUAAUUAUUGAUUCAGUCUCAUUAUUUGUUAUUGGGCUGUUCAGAGUUUCUAUUUUUUCCCGGCACAAUCUUGAGAGGUUGUGUGUUUCCAGGACUUUAUCCAUUUCCUCUAGGUUUCCUAGUUUGUAAGAAUAUGGUUGUUCAUAGUACUCUCUGAUGAUAUUUUGUAUUACUGAGGCAUCAGUUGUAGUGUCUUAUUUUUCAUUUCUGAUUAUGAUUUUAGAUUUUCUUUUCUUGGUUAGUCUAGCUAGCUGUUUAUCAAUUCCAUUUGUCUUUUCAAAGAACCAGCUUUUCAUUUCAUUGAUCAUUUGUAUUGUUUUAUUGGCCUCAGUUUUAUUUAGUUCUGCUCUGAUCAUUAUUUUCUUCUGCUAGCUUUAGCUUCGGUUUUUUCAUGUUUUUCUAUUUUCUUGAGGUACUAUGUUAGGCUUUUAAUUUGUGAUCUUUGUAUUUUUUUAUGUAGGCAUUUAAUGCUAUGAACUUUCCUCUUAGCACUGCUCUUGCUGUCUCUUAGAGGUUUUGGUAUGUUGUUUAUGUUGUGUUUCCAUUUCCGUUUGUUUAAUUUUUUUAAUGUAUGCCCUAAUUUUGUCAUGGACCCAGAGAUCAGUUAGGAGCAUGUUGUCUAAUUUCUAUGUGUUUCUAUUGUUUCAAGAGUUCCUCUUGUUAUUGAUUUCUAGGUCAAUUCUGCUUUGAUUUGAGAAGAUACUUGAUGUGAUUUCCAUUUUAAAAAAAUAUUGAAACUUGUUUUGAGGCCCAACAUAUGGUCUAUCUUGGAGAAUGCUCUAUAUGCUGAUGAGUAGAAUGUAUAUUCUGCAGUUGUUGGGUACAAUGUUUUGUAAAUGUCUGUUAGGCCCAUUUGGUCUAAAGUCCAAUUUAAGUCCAAUGCUUCCUUUUUUUAUUUCUGACUUUUAUUUUAGGUUCAAGGGUAUACAUGCAGAAUGUGCAGUUUUGUUAAUAGGUAAAUGUGUGACAUAGUGGUUUGCUACACAAAUCAUCCCAUCACCCAGGUAUUAAGCCCAGAAUCCACAAGCUAUUCUUCCUGAUCCUCUCCUUCUUGCCAUCCCCCAUCUCCAAAAUGCCCCAGUGUGUGUUGCUCCCCUCCAUAUGUCCAUGCAUUCUCAUCAUUAACUCCCACUUAUAAAUGAGAACAGGCAGUAUUUGGUUUUCAGUUCCUGCAUUAGUUUGCUAAGGAUAAUGGCCUCCAGCUCCAUUCAUAUCCCUGCAAAGGACAUGAUCUUGUUCCUGGCUGCAUAUAAUGCCAUGGUGUAUAUGCACCACAUUUUCUUUAUCUAGUCUAUAAUUGAUAGGCAUUUACAUUGAUCCAUGUCCUUGCUGUUGUGAAUACUGCUGCAAUUAAGAUACACAUGCAUGUGUCUUUAUAAUAGAAUGAUUUCUAUUCCUUUGGGUACAUACCCAGUAAUGGGAUUGCUGGGUCAAAUGGUAGUUCUGUCUCUAGAUCACUGAGGAAUUGCCACGCUGUCUUCCACAAUGGUUGAACUAAUUUACAUUCCCACCAACAGUGUAAAAGCACUUCUUUUUCUCCACAAUCUCUCCAGCAUCUGUUAUUUUUUGACUUUUUAAUAAUAGGCAUUAUGACUGGUGUGAGAUGGCAUCUCAUUGUAGUUUUGAUUUGCAUUUCUCUAAUGAUCAGUGAUGUUGAGCUUUUUUCAUGUUUGUUGGCUGCAUGUAUAUCUUCUUUUGAGAGGUGUCUGUUCGUAUGCUUUGCCCACUUUUUAAUGGGGUUUUUUUCUUGUAAAUUUGUUUAAGUUCCUUGUAGAUGCUGGAUAUUAGAAAUUUGUCAGAUAAAUAGAUGGAAAAACUUCCCCCAUUCUGUAGAUUGUUCACUCUUGAUAGUUUCUUUUGCUGUGCAGAAGCUCUUUAAUUUAAUUAGAUCCCAUUUGUCAAUAUUUGCGUUCAUUGCAAUUGUUUUUAGUGGCUUUGUCAUAAAAUCUUUGCCCAUGCCUACAUCCAGAAUGGUAUUGCCUAGGUUUUCAUCUAAAGACUUUGUGAUUUGUGUUGUUGUUGUUGUUUUUUGUUUGUUUGUUUGUUUGUUUGUUUGUUUUUGACAGAGUUUCACUCUUGUUGCCCUUGCUGGAGUGCAAUGGCACGAUCUCAGCUCACUGCAACCUCUGCCUCCUGGGUUCAAGAGAUCUCCUACUUUAGCCCCCCCAAGUAGCUGGGAUUACAGGCAUGCGCCACCAUGUCCAGCUAAUUUUUGUGUUUCCAGUAGAGACAGGGUUUCACCAUGUUGGCCAGGCUGGUCUCAAACUCCUGACCUCAGGUGAUCCACCCACCUCGGCCUCCCAAAGUGCUGGGAUUACAGGCCGAUGAGCUAUCAUGCCUGGCUGAUUUUUGGUUUUAGAUUUAAGUCUUUAAUCCAUCUUAAGUUGAUUUUUGUAUAUAGUGUAAGGGAAGGGUCAAGUUUCAAUUUUCUGCAUAUGGCUAACCAGUUCUCCCAGCACCAUUUAUUGAAUACGGAAUCAUAUUCCCAUUGCUUGUUUUUGUCAGGUUUGUCGAAGUUCAGAUGGUUGUAGGUGUGCAAUCUUAUUUCUGGUUUCUCUAUUCUGUCCAUGGGUUUAUGUGUCUGUUUUUGUACCAGUACCAUGCUAUUUUAGUUACUGUAGGCCUUUAGCAAAGUUUGAAGUUGGGAAGUAUGAUGCCUCCAACUUUGUUCUCUUUGCUUAGAAUUGCCUUGGCUAUUCAGGCUCUUUUUUGAUUCCACAUGAAUUUUAAAAUAGUUUUUUUUUUAAUUCUGUGAUAAAUGUUAAUGGUAGUUUAAUGGGAAUAGCAUUGAAUAUGUAAAUUGCCUUGGGAACUAUGACCAUUUUCACAAUAUUUAUUUCUCCUAUCCAUCCAUGAGCAUGGAAUGUUUUUCUACUUGUUUGUGUCAUUUCUGAUUUCUUUGAGCAGUGGUUUGUAGCCGUCUUUGAAGAGGUCCGUCACUUCCCUUGUAAGCUGUAUUUCUAGGUAUUUUAUUCUUAUUGUGGCAAUUGUGAAAGAGUUUACUCGUGAUUUGGCUUUUGGCUUGCCUAUUGUUGAUAUACAGGAGUGCUAGUCAUUUUUACAUAGUUAGGUUGAUUUGGGAUGGACAGUUCUGUAGAUGUUUGUUAGGUCUGCUUGAUCUAGUGCUGAGUUAAAGUCCUAAAUGUCUUUGUUAAUUUUCUAUCUCGAUGAUUGGGCUAAUAUUGUCAGUGAGGUAUUAAAGUCUUCCACUAUUAUUGUGUGGUUGUUCAAAUCCCUUUGAUGGUCUCUAAGAACUGGCUUUAUGAAUCUGAGUGCUCCUGUGUUGGGUACAUAUCUACUUAGGAUAGUUAGCUCUUUUUGUUGAAUUGAACUCCUUACCAUUAUGUAAUGCCCUUCUUUGUCUUUAUUUAUCUUUGUUGGUUUAAAGUCUGUUUUGUCAGAAACUAGGCUUGCAACACUUGCUUUUCUGUGUUUUCUAUUUGCUUGGUAUCUCAAUCAGUCCUAGAUUCGGUCUCUGUACAUAAUCCCAUAUUUCUCAGAGGUUUUGUUCAUUUCUUUUUAUUGUUUUAUCUCUAUUCCCUCACAGCGCAACUGGUUUUUCUUCUUCCUGGGGGCUGUGGUGGGAUCUGCCUUUCUGUGAGGAUUCAUGGGGUGGCUGGGCCAGCAUCUGUCCAAAGGGAGGCACUUCUCCAUUUUUUGUGUGUUUUUGCAUGAGAUGGGUCUCUUGAAGACAGCAUACCUGUGGGUCUUGGUUCUUUAUCCCACUUGCCACUCUGUCUUUUAAUUGGGGCAAUUAGUCCAUUUACAUUGAAGGUUAUUGUUGUUAUGUGUAGAUUUAAUCCUGUCAUCAUGAUGUUAGCUGGUUGUUUUGCAGACCUGUUUAUGUGGUUGCUUCAUAGUGUCACUGGUCUAUGUACUUCAGUAUGUUUUUGUAAUGGCUGGUAACAGUUUUUCCUUUCCAUAUUUACAGCUUCCUUCCUGCAGGGCAGAUCUGGUGGUGAUGAAUUCCCUCAGCAUCUGCUUGUCCUAAAAGGAUUUUAUUUCUCCUUCACUUAGGAAGGUUAGUUUGGCUGGACAUGAACUUCAGGGUUGGAAAUUCUUUUAAGAAUGUUAAAUAUUGGUCCCAAAUUUCUUCUGGCUUGUAGGGUUUUCCCUGAGAAGUCUGCCCUUAGUUUGAUGGAAUUUCAUUUGUAUGUGACCUAGCCUUUCUCUCUGGCUGCCCUUAACAUUUUUUCUUUCAUUUUGACCUUGGAGAACCUGAUGAUUCUCUGUGUCUUAGGGAGAUCUUCUCAUGGAGUAUCUUACUGUGGCUCUCUUCAUUUCCUGAAUUUGAAUGUUGGCCUGUCUAGCUAGAUUGGGGAACUUCUCCUGAAUUAUAUCCUGAAGUGUAUUUUCCAACUUGGUUCCAUUUUCCCUGUCUCUUUCAGGUACCCCAAUCAGUCGUAGAUUCCAUCUCUUUACAUAAUACCAUAUUUCUUGGAGGUUUUGUUUAUUCCUUUUUAUUCUUUUAUCUCUAUAGUUGUCUGCCUGCUUACUUCAGAAAGACAGUCUUCAAGCUCUGAGAUUCUCUACUCUGCUUGGUCUAUUCUCCUAUUAAUACUUGUGAUUGCAUUGUGAGGUUCUUGUGUUUUGUUUUUCAGCUCUGUCAGGUUGGUUCUCUUUUUCUCUUUAUACUAUUUUGGCUGUCAACUUCUACAUUGUUUUAUUAUGAUUCUUAGCUUUUUUGCAUUGGUUUACAAUAUGCUCCUUUAGCUCAGCAAAGCUCAUUUUUAUUCACCUUCUGAAGCCUACUUCUAUCAUUUCAGCCAUCCCAGCCUCAGGUCAGUUCUGAUCUCUUGCUGUAGAGGUGCUGUGGUCAUUUGGAGGUAAGGGGGCUCUGUGGCUUUUUGAGUUUUGAGUGUCUUUGCACUGAUGCUUUCUCAUCUUUGUGAACUUAUCUACCUUUGAGUUUGAAGUUGCUGAUUUUUGGUUGGGUUUUUUGUCUUUUGUUGUUUUUGUUGUUGGUGGUUUGUUUGUUUUUCUUGUAACAGUCUCACCACUCUUCCCUAGGGCUGCUGUGGUUUGCUGGGGGUCCACUCCAGAGCCUAGUUGCCUCAGUUUUUCCAGUAUCUGCAGGCAUCACCAGUGAAGACUGCAAAACAGCAAAGAUAACAGCCUGCUCCUACCUCUGGGAACCUCAUCCCAGGGGGCUACUGACCUGUUGCCUGCCUGAACACACCUGUAGAAUGUGGCUGGAGUCACUGGUUGGGAGUUCUUACCCAGUCAACAGGAAGGGGAUCAGAGACCCACUUAAAGAAGCAGGCUGGCUGCAUUUUGGCCAUAAAAAAGAAUGAGUACAGGGACAUGGAUGAAGCUGGAAGCCAUUAUUCUCAGCAAACUAACACAGGAACAGAAAACCAAACACUGUAUGUUCUCACUCAUAAGUAGGAGUUGAACAAUGAGAACACAUGGGCACAGGGAGGGGAGCAUCACACACCGGGGCCUGUCAGGGGGUGGGGGGCAAUGGGAGGGAGAGCAUUAGGACAAAUACCUAAUGCAUGUGGGGCUUAAAACCUAGAUGACAGGUUCAUAGGUACAGCAAACCACCAUGGCACAUGUAUACCUAUGUGACAAACCUGUACAAUCUGCACAUGUAUCCCAGAACUUAAAAAAAAAAAAAAAAAAAAGAAGCAAUCUGGCUGCAUUUUGGUAGAGUGGCUGUGUUGUGUUGGGGGAUCCCUUCGGCCACCAAUUGGUUUGGGUUUCCAAGGCCCACAGGAUGGAACAACUGUGAUGCUCAAAGAGCAAAGGUGGUGCUCUCCAUCCCAGGAAGAAAUUAGAACUCUGUUGGCUAUAGGACACAAGUGGGGGUGGCCAGAGGUUCUGGCUGGGAGGACCAACCAGCAAGGAGGAAUGUAUUGGGGUCCAUUUAAAGAAGCAAUCUGGCCACACCUCAACAAAACAGCAGUGCUGUGCUGGUGAACCACCUCUGCCCCAGGCAGCUUGGAUUCUCCUAAGCCCACAGGCUAGAAUGGCUGAGUUGUGCAAACUGCAAAGUUGGUGGCCCACCCCACCCUCUGGGUACUCUGUCCCAGGGAGAAAUCAGAAUUCUAUCCAUAGAACAUGGGUGAGGGUGCCUGGAGGCCCUGGCUGGAAAAGGAAUGGAUUGGGGUCCUGCUUAAAGAAGCAGUCUGACCAUGUAUUGGUAAAGCAGCUGAGAGUCCAAACUGUUUGGACACUCCAUGACCCACAGGCUGGAACGCCUGAGUCAUACAAACAGCAAAGUUGGUUACCUACCCCUCCCUGCAAUGACUUCAUCCCAUCUCAGGCAGGUGCUACCCUGUUGCCAGUGGCUGGCUGGAAUUCUGGGCCAGUUGGUCUUAUCUUGUGAGGUGCCAUGGAAGUGGGGCCCGCAGACCAACACUGCUUGACCCCCUGGAUUCAUCCAUCUUCCUAGGGGUAUGUAUGGACCUGCCUGCCUUGCCUGAGUUGUAGUCACCUUUGCCAGGGAUCUUGGGGCCAGAGUAAAUCUCCUGUGUCUCUGUACAUGCCUGAGCUGCUUUUACAAAUCCUUUUGAACAUAGCUUAUCUUUACAACUGCUUCUCUGGGAAUGGUCGUCUCAUAGAAUCACAUAUAGUCCAGUAGUUUUCAAACCCAACUUUUGAUAUUUACUUGAGAAAUAUAAUAAACAUGAAUGCAUGAGCCCCACUCCAAAACAAUCAGAAUCUCUGGGAGACCUGCAGGCCCAACACCACAUGGAAGCCACCAAGGCUUUGGGGUUGUGUCCUCUGAAGCAACAUCCUGAGCUGCAUGUUGGCCCCUUUUAACCAUGACUGGAUCUGGAAUAGUUGGGACACAGGGCACCAAGUUCCAAGGCUGCACAGAGCAACAGGGUCCUUGGCCUGGCCCAUGAAACCAUUUUUCCCUCUUAGGCCUUCAGGCCUGUAAUGGGACAGGCUGCCAUGAAGGUCUCUGACAUGGCCUGGAGACAGUUUCCCCAUUGUCUUGGCUAUAAACAUUCAGCUCUUCGUUACUUAUGCAAAUUUCUGUAGCCAGCUCGAAUUCUUCCCUAGAAAAUGGGUUUUUCUUUUCUACCACAUGGUCAAGCUGCAAAAUUUUCAAUCCUUUAUGUUCUGCUGCUUUUUUAAACAUAAGUCCCAAUUUCAAACCAUCUCUUCGUGAAUGCAUAUAAUUGAACACUUUCAGAAUAAGCCAGGUCACCUCUUGAAUGCUUUGCUACUUAGAAAUUUCUUUUGCCAGAUAUCCUAAAUCAUCUCUCUCCAAUUCAAACUUUCACAGAUAUCUAUGGCAGAGGCAAAAUGCUGCCAGUCUCUUCGCUAAAGUAUAGCAUAAGUGACCUUUAUUCCAGUUCUUAAUAAGUUCCUCAUCUCCAUCUGAGACCACCUCAGCAUGGACUUCAUUUUUAAUAUCACCAUCAGCAUUUUGGUCAAAACCAUUCAACAAGUCUCUAGAAAGUUCCAAACUUUCCCACUUCUUCCUGUCUUCUUUUGAGACCUCCAAACUUUUCCAACCUCUGCCUGUUACCCAGUUCCAAAGUUGCUUCCACAUUUUCAGGUUAUCUUUAUAGCAGUACCCCACUCUGCAGGUACCAAUUCUCUGUAUUAGUCCAUUCUUACACUGCUAUAAAGAUACUGAGACUGGAUAAUUUAUAAACAAAGGAGGUUUAAUUGACUCACAGUUUUGCAUGGCUGGGGAGGCCUCAGUAAAGUUACAAUCAUGGCAGAAGGUGAAGGGGGAGUGAGGAACAUCUUCACAAGGCAGCAGCAGAGAGAGAGAGCAAAGAAGGAACUGCCAAACACUUGUGUAGCCAUCAGCUCUCAUGAGAACUCCCUCAUGAAACAUCAUGAAAACAGCAUGGGGUAACCUGUCCCCAUAAUCCAAUCACCUCCCACCAAGUCCCUCCCUAAAUAUGUGGGGAUUACAAUUUGAGAUAAUAUUUGGGUAGGGACACAGAGACAAACCAUAUCAACCAUAAUGAAGAAAGCAAGGUAUAUAAGAUCAAGUGACUUGCCUAUAAGUCCAUGAGGUGUUCCAAACCUGCUGUGCAGUCUGCAUCAUUUUUCAUUCUUUACAUGCCUCUAGACUUAGAGAGGCUGAUAAGCUUGGAAAAUGAUGUGCUUCUAUCAACAGUAAAGAUAUUUUUCCAUUUUCUACAACAUUGUAAGUUCUGGCCAUUAAUGUAUAAGCUUUUUUUUUUUUUCUGAGAUGGAGUUUUGCUGCUGUUGCCCAGGUUGGAGUGCAAUGAUGCGAUCUCAGCUCACUGCAACCUCCACCUCCUGGAUUCAAGCAAUUCUCCUGCCUCAGCCUCCUAAAUAGCUGAGAUUACCUGCGCUCGUCACCAUGCCCAGCUAAUUUUUGUAUUUUUAGUAGAGAUGUGGUUUUGCCAUGUUGGCCAGGCUGGUCUCGAACUCCUGACCUCAGGUGAUCCACUCACCUUGGCCUCCCAAAGUGCUGGGAUUACUGGAGUCAGCCGCCGCACCUGGCCAAAUGUAUAAUCUUAAAAUACCACUAACAUAGUAUGAUUUGAGAACCAUCGCAGAAUCUCACCAUCCCUAAACAUCCUUCUUGCUGAUCUUUCACAGUGCCUGAAGUUUAUUCUGCUAAUCAUUCUUCUAAGCUAUGACACUGUUACCAGAAUACAGGAAUAGAGAGAGAGUGGGCUGUUAACAUACCUGCUGUCACCUUGGAAAGCAGCCACAGAGCCCUGAAGAUCUGGCCUGGGGUAGACAUAUUAAUGAAAGAUGCAGAAAAAAGGAAAAGCCCAGAAUAUAGGGCAAGCUCCCAGUAAAAGUCCUGGGUAGAAUGGUGCCAAAGACUAGUUUUCUUAUUUCAAAAUGGUGCCCAAAUGCUUGACAUAUCUACAUUUUAUAAAAUCCCUUAAGUAAUACGGUCAAAAGAGCACUAGAGUUGUGAAACAGGAGACUUGAGUUAUUUUAGUAGUUCAGACUAUGUGGCCUGGGACAGAUCCAUUUCCCUCUUUUUCUUACACAUCAAAUGUGAAGAUUAAAUUAGAGUAGCAAAUAUCCUGACUGCUUCUAAACGUUUGAUUCUCAUAGUGAAUCAGUUCAAUUGCCCUUGUGUCUAGUGUAGUUAUGGCAUAAGCUAAUAUGUUAAUGCCUCCCCCUUACCACUGUGGCUGGCAGUAUUUAUAAAACAUACAAGCCCUAAGCCUAUUGAGAACCCAAGCAGUUGGUGCUGCCAUACGUUUAAGAAGGACACAAAGAAACCUAGGGUCAAAGAAAGUCUGUUGAAGUAAUUUAAAGGGAAGGAACUGUGAAAGGAGAUGGUAUUUUUCUUUUAAAACAGAAAUAUUGCUUCAUUGAGUGGAGGUUGUGAGAUGACAGGUAAGAAGAUCCCAGACUUAUAAGAAACUUCCUAAAGAAUUUUAAAAUGAAAAUGGUUGUAGAAACACUCAUCCACCUGAAAUGAGUUAGAUGCCUGUUUCUUGUCUCCAAGCAAAGGUUGGACUGGAUAAAAAGAACCCCAGCAAGUAACCUAGAAAGUACCCUAAUGUGGGCUAGGUGUGGUGGCUCAUGCCUGUAAUCCCAGCACUUUGGGAGGCCAAGGAGGGUGGAUCACAAGGUCAAGAGAUCGAGACCAGCCUGACCAACAACGUGAAACCCCAUCUCUACUAAAAAUACAAAAAUUAGCUGGGCCUGGUGGUGCACGCCUGCAGUCCCAGCAACUCAGGAGGCUGAGGCAGGAGAAUCGCUUGAACCUGGGAGGCGGAGGUUGCAGUGAGCCGAGAUGGCACCACUGGGCCCCAGCUUGGCGACAGAGUGGGACUCUGUCUCAAAAAGAAAAGAAAAAAGGGAAAAAAAAAGAAAGUACCCUAAUGUGGUACCUUUUUCCCUACUUUGUCUUUUUUGUUAUUUUUUAAACUAAAUGUUUAGCAAAAUAGGAAAAAGCAUAAAUAAGAAAGCAAUAUUCAUCCCAAUCCUAAUAUGCAGCCUUCUCCUGCAUGUCCCUGCCUUCCAAAAUGUUUGCACAUGGUACAACACCAGUAUAUAGACCCAGAGGUUAGUAUGAAGGCAAAAGGCAUUUUUUCCUGAACAAAAGCCAAAAAGGGAGCUGCUAUUUUGUCAAGAAAGGGAGUGACAGCCCUUAGUACAGUGGUUCAUGUUCAGGGUACUGAAUAAGAACAAAAUAGGGCUGAUGGUGUUAUUUCAGGCAUUGGAGGGAAGACCACUGGGUAAUGUUGACACUUCUACAAUAAUUGAGAGGAUAAUGGGGGCCAGAAGUCCCCUUUGUCAAGAAAUGGCAGGGAGUCUGGGGUAAGAACUAGCAGAGUUAAUAUACAUCCGUGCCAUUAGCAUGGGCUUUAAAGAUGUUAGAACAGGCAGCAGAGCUAUAGGCAUUGCACCCAGGUCCCAGCCACCAGGCUUGGUGGAUGGUAGGGAACUGUGGCAGCAUUCCAACAGGGAGAGGCCAAUGAGCAUAAAUACUGUUCUCUCGCUUUCUUUUAACUGUCACUAAGAGCACAUUCAAUUCAAUGAGUCUACAAUUCAGGUUGUCAGAAGAACAAAGGGACUCAAUCUUUAGCCCUCUGGGAGAACUAUUGAGAAACCAAGUAACUAUUUAAAUCUCUGUGCAGCUGGGCAGGAAGGAGAGUCCAGCUCUGUUGGAAAGAUUUGGCAGCUUUGUAAGGGAGGGAGGUCCAGUACCUGACCCAGAGGCUGUGUGCCACCACCCGCCCCCAUCCCCCCUGCAACCCAAUGAAAAAAAGAGUAUAGGGUCAACCACCUGCCCUACCACAUAUCAGCUGGUCCACCGACAUUUAUUUUAGCACUUCCACCCUAGUGGAGAACCUAGGUGCCAGUGUUUUCUAGGCCCUCCAAAGACAGUAAGCCCUUACGGCUCUAUAAAUGUAUACAUCCUCUCAUCCUAGAUAACCCCUCCCCAACUGAAACUCACAAUCUCCACCUCACCUCUCCAUCUCUCUCUCACACACACAUACACGUUUUUAUUUUUAGAAGACUCGGAGAAGGCCUGUGACAAAAGCUUAUGCUCUAGCCAAAGUCUGUGCUAGUUCUCUGCCAGCCAGUGGCCAGGCCACUGAACUGCCAUUAUCUCCCUCCUCCCACUCUACGUGACCUCACCUCUGCUACCAUUCAUCUCUACCCAACCCUAGACUCUAGCAUCCCUCACUCAUUGCUUGUCUGCUUCUCUCCUUCUUGGCUAGUUAUUGUGGCUGCUACAACAGUUACAAUUAAUGAUUAGUUCCUACAGCAUGCCUACCCAUAUCCUGUCCGCAGAUCCAGAGGCCUAAACCCAGAGCUGUCUAGAGAGCAGGAACCAGAGUCAACUGAAGCAGAGUGCAAUGCAAGGGGCGACUUGAAGCUGGAAGAUGAACACUGAGUGGCUUUACAGAGGUAAGUACAUACAUUCUUAUUGGUAAUGUGAGGGAGAAUUAGACCUUCCCUGGUCAUGGGUUCAGUGAUACUCAGAUUCAUUCAUUCUCUCUAGAUAGAGAUAGAUAGAUAGAUAGAUAGAUAGAUAGAUAGAUAGAUAGAUGAUAGAUAGAUGAUAGAUUAUAUAGAGAGAGAUAGAUUAUAUAUAGAGAGAUAGAUAGAUUAUAUAUAGAUACAUAGAUUAUAUAUAUAUAUAUUUUCCCAUGAGCAAAGGGGAAACCACCUCUUAUCUCCUCAGAACUUUUGCUUGUCAUACUACCUCUCCCUUGACUUGUAAGUUAUUUGCCUAUCUGCUAAACUAGGCUCCCUAGUUUCUCAGAAACUGUUGAAUUGAAUCAGGAGUUCCCUUUAACUGAAGAGACCCAGAAUGAUGAACAAUACAGCCUUCUAAACCUUGAGAUGAAUAGGAAUUUCAUACUAAUCCCUGUGACUGCAGGUGGAUUCUUCCUUCUAGAGGUAAGAGCUGAAGUGGCUGAGGUGUGGAUUCCAUUCCUGAGGGUUGAAACCACUCUGGUAUUUCAUUUAGAUAAGUUUACAUUGAAAGGUUGGGGACAUGUUAGAGGAAAUUAGGUUUUUCCAGUGUGAAAUGAACUCAGGAUACCCUUUCUACUUCUCCCCUCCUAGGUAGAGUAUCCGAUAUUGUUUACUGAACAAAUUUAAGGAACUAUCUGACAAACAAGCCCUAUAAAUGGAAGCAUUUAAAACAUACAUUGGAUUAUUUUUACUACCAUGGGAAAGUGGUGUUUAACCUUCCCAUAUCACAGUCUCACCUUCCAUAAAAUCAGGAUUAAUGCACAAUCCUGAUUCUUUCCUUUCUGAAACAUGCAAUAAUAAAUGUCUGCAAAGCACUUUGACCUCUAAGAUAUUAAAUACACAAAUUUUGUUUGCAUUUGGAUCUCUAUUUUUUGUCCUAGGUGUAUUUUUUAAACAGGGUCUUGCUAAAUUUUUUCAAUUUUUUUGUAGAGAUAGGUCUUGCUAUGUUGCCUAAGCUGGUCUCAAACUCCUAGCCUCAAACAGUCCUCCCAGCUCAGCGUCCCAAAAUUCUGGGAUUACAAGCAUGAACCACACCUGGCUGGCGUUUUAAAUUGAUACAUAAUAUUUUACAUAUUUAUGGGGUACAUGUGAGUAUUUGUUACAUGCAUAGAAUGUUUAAUGCUCAAGUUGGGAUAUUUGGGGUAUCCAUCUCUUUGAAUAUUUAUAAUUUCUAUCUAUAUGUUUGGAGUAUUUCAAGCCCUCUCAUCUAGUUACUUAGAAAUAUACAAUACAUUGUUGAUAACUACAUUCACCCUACUCUGCUAUCAUACUUUAGAACUUAUUCCUUCUAUCUAACUGUAUGUUUGUACCUAUUAACCAACCUCACUUCAUCCCUCCCUCCCAUGUACACCUACUUGCCAGCCUCUGGUAUUUAUCAUUCUAUUUUCUAUCUGCAUGAGAUCAACAGUUUUAGCUCCCACAAAUAAGUAAGAACAUGCAAUAUUUGUCUUUUUGUGUCUGGUUUAUUUCACUUAACAUAAUGUCUUCCACGUUUAUCCAUGUUGCUGCAAAUGACAUGAUUUUAUUAAUUUUUGUGGCCUGAUAGUAUUCCAUUGUGUGUAUAUACCACUUUUUCUUAUUUAUUUAUUUAAUUUAUUUGUAAGGAUUCAGAGGGUACAUUUUCAGUUUUGUUACAUGGAUAUAUUGUGUAGUGGUAAAAUUUGGGCUUCUAGUGUAUCCAUCACCUGACUAGUGAACAUUGUGCCUAACAGGUAAUUUUUCAACACUUAUCACCCUCCAACCCUUGCCCCUUUUGGAGUCCCUAGUGUCUGUUAUUUUCUUCUUUGUCUAUGUGUACACCUUGUUUAGCUCCCACUUAUAAGUGAGAAUACACUGUAUUUAGUUUUCUGUUUUCAAGUUAUUUCACCUAAGAUAAUGGCCUACAGUUCCAUCCAUGUUGUUGCAAAAGACAUAAUCUCAUUCCUUUUAAUGAUUGCAUAGUAUUGCGGUGGUGUACACACACACACACACACACACACACACACACACACACCCCUCACAUUUUCUUUAUCCAGUCAUCCACUGAUGGACACUUAGGUUGAUUCAAUUACUUUGCUAUUGCAAAUAGUGCUGUGAUAAACAUAUGAGUGCAGGUGUCUUUUUGUUAUAACAAUUUCUUUUCUUUUGGGUAGAUACCCCGUAGUGGCAUUGCUGAGUCAAAUGGGAGUCAUAUUUUUAGUUCUCUGAGAAAUCUCCAUACUAUUUUCCAUAGAUGAAAUAUUAAUUUAUGUUACCAUCAACAAUGUAUAAGCAUUCUCUUUUCUCUGCAUCCUUGUCAACAUCUGUUAUUUUUAAACUUGUUAAUAAUAGUAUUCUGGACCUGGCAUGGUGCCUCAUGCCUGUAAUCCAAGUGCUUUGAGAAGCUGAGGCAGGAGUAUCAUUUGAGGCCAGGAGUUUGAGAUCAGUCUGGGCAACAUAGCAAGAACCUGUCUCUACUUAAAAAAAAUAGCCAGGCAUGGUGGCACACACCUGUAGUCUUAGCUACUCAGGAGGCUGAGGUGGGAGAAUCACUUGAGCUCAGGAGUUUGAGGUUACAGUGAGCUCUGACCAUGUCACUGCACUCCAACUUGGGUAACAGAGUAAGACCUUGUCUGUAAAUAAUAGUCAUAGCCAUUCUGACUGGUGUGGCAUGGUAUCUCAUGGUGGUUUUGAUUUGUAUUUCUCUGAUUAGUGGUGAUGAGCAUUUAUUCAUAUGCUCAUUGGCCACUUGUAUAUCUUCUUUUGAGAAAUGUCCCUUAAUGUCCUUUGGCCAAAUGUGGCCACUUUUUAGUUAUUUUAUUUUUAACUUUUAUUAUAGGUUCAGGAGUACAUGUGCAGGUCUGUUACCAGGGUAUAUUGCAUGAUGCUGAGGUUUAGGGUAAGAAUUAUCCCAUCACCCAGGUACUGAGCAUAGUAUGCAAUAGUUUUUCAACCUGUGACCCCCUCUCUUCCUCCCCACUCUAAGAGUCCAGUUUCAAUUGUUGCCAUCUUUAUAUCCAUGAGUACCUAAUGUUUAACUUAUAAAUGAGAACAAGUUGUAUUUGGUUUUCUGUUGCUGCAUUAAUUCUCUUAGAAUAAUGGCCUCCAGCUAUAUCCAUGUUGCUGCAAAUGACAUAAUUUUGUUCUUUUUAUGGCUGCAUAGUAUUCCAUGGUGUAUAUGUACCACAUUUUCUUUUUUCUUUUUUGGAGAGAAAUGGAAGGAAGUUUUAUUUCUUUUUCAUGAGUAUCACUCAAUUUUUUAAAUGCUAAAAAUCAUAAUGAUCUAUCAUCACAAAUUAGUUUUUGGUUUUUUAUUUUUUAUUUUUCUAUUUUUUACUUAACUUUAAGUUCUGGGAUACAUGUGCUGAACGUGCAGGUUUGUUGCAUAGGUGUACAUGUGCCAUGGUGGUUUGCUGCACCUAUCAACCCAUCAUCUUGGUUUUAAGCCCUGCAUGCAUUAGGUAUUUGUCCUAAUGCUCUCCCUCCCCUUUCUCCCUACCCCCCUGACAGGCCCCAGUGUACGAUGUUCCCCUCCCUGUGUCCAUGUGUUCUCAUUGUUCAACUCCCACUUAAGAGUGAGAACAUGCAUAUGAACCACAUUUUCUUUGCCCAAUCCACCAUUAGUGGGUACCUAGAUUGAUUUGAUAUCUUUGCUAUUGUAAAUAGUGCUGUGUUGAACAUGUGGGUGCAAGUAUCUUUUUGAUAGAAUGAUUUCUUUUAUUUUUGAUAUAUACACAGAAAUAGGAUUGCUGGAUCAAAUGGUAGUUCUGUUUUAAGUUCUUUUGAGAAAUCUCUGAACUGCUUUUUACAGUGGCUGAACUAAUUUACAUUCCCACCAACAGUGUAUCUGUAUUCCCUUUACUCUGUAGCCCUGUCAGCAUCUGUCGUUUUUUUGACCUUUUAAUAGCAGCCAUCUGACUGGUAUGAGUUGGUACCUCAUUGUGGCUUGACUUUGCACUUCUGUGAUGAUUAGUUAUACGGAACAUUUUUUCAUGUUUAUUGGCCACUUGUACGUCUUCUUUGGAGAAAUACGUGUUCAUGCCUUUGCCCACUUUUAAUGGGGUUGUUUUUUGCUUGUUGAAUUGUUUAACUUCCUUAUAGAUUCUGAAUAGUAGAUCUUUGUUGAUACAUAACUUACAAAUAUUUUCUCCCAUUAUGUAGGUUGUCUGUUUACUCUGUUGAUAGUUUGUUUUGCUGUUCAGAAGCUCUUUAGUUUAAUUAGGUCCCACUUUUCAAUUUUUGUUUUUGUUGCAGUUGCUUUUGGGGACUUAGUCAUAAAUGAUUUCCCAAAACCAAUUUUCAGAAUGAUGUUUCCUAGGUUUUCUUCUACUUAUAGUAUGAGGUCUUACAUUUAAAUCUUUAGUCCAUAUUGAUUUAAGUUUUGUAUAUGUUGAAACAUAGGAAACCAGUUUGAUUCUUCUGCAUAUGGCUAGCCAGCUAUCCCACCACCAUUUACUAAAUAGGGAAUCUUUUCCCCAUUGCUUAUUUUUGUCAACUUUGUCAAACAUCAAAUGGCUGUAGAUGUGAAGCUUUAUUCCCAGGUUCUCUAUUCUGUUCAUUGGUAUAUAUGUCUGUUCUACCAGUACCAUGCUGUUUUGGUUACUGUAGGCUUGUAAUAUGGUUUGAAGUCAGGUAGUGUUAUGCCUCUAGCUAUGUUCUUUUUACUUAGGAUUGCUUUGGUCAUUUGGACUCUUUUUUCGUUCCAUGCAAAUUUUCAAAUAAUUUUUUCUAAUUCUGUGAAAAAUGACAUUGACAGUUUGAUAGGAAUUGUAUUGAAUGCAUAUAUUGCUUUGGGCAGCAUGAUCAUUUUUUUGAUAUUGAUUCUUCUAAUCCAUGAGCAUACAAUGUUUUUCUAUUUGUUUGUGUCAUGUCUGAUUUCUUUCAGCAGUGUUUUGUAGUUCUCUUUAUAAAUAUCUUUCAAUUCCUUGGUUAGAUGUAUUUCUAGGUAUUUUAUAUUUUGGUGGGUAUUGUAAAUGGGAUUAUGUUCUUGAUUUCACUCUCAGCUUGAACAUUAUUGGUGUAUAGAAAUGCUACUGAUUUUUGUACUUUGAUCUCAUAUCCUGAAACUUUACUGAAGUUGUUUAUCAGUUCCAAGAUCCUUUCGGCAGAGUCUAUAGGGUUUCCUAGGUAAAAAAUCAUAUUAUCUCCAAACAAAGAGUUUGAAUUCCACUUUUCCUAUUUGGAUGCUUUUAAUUUAUUUUUCUUGCCUAAUUUCUCUGGUCAGGACAUCUAGUACUAUGUUGAAUAGGAGUGGUGAGAGUUGGCAUCAUAGUCUUACUCCAGUUCUCAAGCGGAAUGCUUACAGUUUUUGACUAUUCAGUAUGAUAUUGGCUAUGGGUUUCUCAUAGAUGACUCUUAUUAUUUUGAGGUAUGUUCCCUUGAUGCCUAGUUUCUUGAGGGUAUUUUUUAUCAUGAAGAUAUGUUGGAUUGUUUUUUCCAUUUAUUGAGAUGAUCAUAUGGUUUUUGUUUUUAGUUCUAUUUAUGUGGUGAAUCACAUUUAUUGAUUUGUAUGUUGAACCAACCUUGCAUCCCAGAAAUGAAGUCUACUUGAUCCUGGUGAAUUAACUUUUUGAUGUGCUGUUGGAUUCAAUUUGCUUGUAUUUUGUUGAGGAUUUUUGCAUCUAUAUUCAUCAGAGACAUUGGCCAGUAGUUUUCCUUUUUAAUUGUCUUUGCCAGAUUUUGGUAUCAGGGUGAUGUUGGCUUCAUAGAAUGAGUUAGGGUCCUCUUUUAUUUUUUUUUCAGGAAGGAAUAAUUUCAUAGUAUAGGUACCAGCUCUUCUUUGUAUAUUUCAUAGCAUUUGGCUGUGAAUCCAUCUAAUCUGGGGCUUAAAUUUAAGUUUUUGAUCCAUCUUGAGUUAAUUUUUGUAUAUGGUGAGAUAAAGUCCAGUUUUGUUCUGGAUAUUAGUCCCUUGUUAAAUUGAUAGUUUGCAAAUAUUUUCUCCAAUUCUAUAGGUUGUCUCUUCAUUCUCGAUUGUUUCCUUUGCUGUACAGAAGCUUUUUAGUUUAAUAUAGUCCCAUUUCUCUAUUUUUGUUUGUGUUAACUGUGCUUUUGAGGUCUCAGCCAUAAAAUCUUUGCCUAUACGAAUGUCCUAUAGUGUUUUGCCCAUGGUCUCUUCUAGAGUUUUAUAGUUUUGGGUCUCACAUUUAAGUCUUUAACAUAUCUUGAUUUUAUUUUUGUAUAUGGUGAAAGAUAGAGGUCCAGUUUCAUUUUUCUGCAUAUGUAUAUAAAUUUUCCCUGCACCAUUUGUUGAAGAGGGUGUCCUUUCCCCUAUGCAUUUUCUUGACAUUUCUCUCAAAAAUCAGUUGGCUAUAAAUGCAUUGCUUUGUUUCUGCAUUCUCUACUCUGUUCCAUUGGUCUGUGUGUCUGUUUUUAUAUAAAUUCUAUGCUGUUUUGGUUACUAUAGCCUUGUAAUAUAUUUUGAAGUCAAGUAGUGUGAUGCCAACAGCUUUUAACUGUUUUGCUCAGGGUUUCUUUGACUAUUCAUUGUCUUCUGUGAUUCAACUGGAAUUUUAGGAUUUUUUUCUAAUUCUAUGAAAAAUGACUUUUGUAUUUUUAUAGGAAUUGCAUUGAAUCUAUGGAUUGCUUUGGGCAGUAUGGUCAUUUUAACGAUAUUAUUUUUUCCAAUCCAUGAGCAUGGAAUUGCUUUCUAUUUGGUUGUGUCAUCUAUAAUGUAUUUUAUCAGUCUUCUGUAAUUUUCUUUAUAGAGAUUUUUCACCUUCUUGGUUAAAUUUAUUCCUAGGUAUGUCAUUUUUGUAACUAUUGAAAAUAGGAAUGCAGUCUUGAUUUCUUUCUCAGCUAGUUUAUCAUUGCUGUUUUGAAACACUACUGAUGUAUGUUGAUUUUGUAUUCUCUAACUUUACCAAAUUUACUAAUCAGAUAAGAGUUUUUAGGUGUAGCUUAAUCCAACCCAAUUGUCCUAUAGAACUAAUAUUUAUGGGGUUUUUGGAAUAAACAUAGAAAUUGACCCCCCCGCCGCCAGUCUUAAAACUUGAAACUUAAUAUCUGUCUCAUGUGAGUUCUUUCCUCAGGAAACUAUCUCUCAAGCAAGGGACUGAAGCUCACCAGAUCACUGCAUCCAGACAGUGAGAUGCUAGACCCCUCAUUUGAUUACCUUCCAUACCCCUCCCUAGUUCCCGUUUCACAUUCCUUCCCCACUAUGAGAAUAUUCAGUUUUAGUCAGUUGAGGAGACAGAUUUGAGAUGUAUCUCCCAUUCUCGUGAUUGAUACCAACUAAAUAAAAAGCCAUCUUCCCUGGCAAUAGUCAUUAUCUCAGUGAUUGGCUUUCUGUGUGGUGAUUAACAGGACCUAGACCCUGGCAUUUCAGUAACAGACUAUGGAUUGUUCUAGAUACAAGAUCAUAUUGUCAUUAGUAGAGAAGGACAAUUUGACUUCCUCUUUUCCUAUUUGUUUGCUUUUUAUUUCUUUCUCUUGCCUGAUUUUAUGGUUAAGACUUCCAGUACUAUGUUGAAUAGUAGUGGUAAAAGUGGGCACCCUGUUCCAGUUAGUCCUUAGUGAAAGGCUUUCAGAUUUCACCCAUUCAGUGCAGCGUUAGCUGUGGGUUUGUCAUAUCUGGUCUUUACUUGGAGGGGGAUACCUCUCUUCUAUAAACAGUGUGUUGAGUUUCAUUAUAAAUGUUGCUGAAUUUUAUCAGCUGAUUUUUCUGUGUCUGUUGAAAUGGUCAUAUGGGUUUUGUCCUUGAUUCUGUUGACAUGAUGUAUCACAUUUAUUGAUUUAUACAUAUUGAAUCCCUGGUAUAAAUAUCAACUUAAAUCCCUGGGGUAAAUACCCCUUAAAUCCCUGGGGUAAAUAUCAACUGAUCAUAUUGUAUUACGUUUUUUGAUGUGCUGUUGGAUUUGGUUUGCCAGUAUUUUGCUGAAGAUUUUUGUGUCUAUGCUCAUCAGGGAUAUUGGACUGUAGUUUUCUUUUCUUUUUGUGUCUUUGUCUGGUUUUGGUAUCAAAAUAAUACUGACCUUGUAGAAUGAGUAAGGGAGAAAGUCCUCCUCUUCGAUUUUUUGUAAUAGUUUUAAGAUAAUUUGUGUUAGUUCUUCUUUGAAAGUUUGGUAGAAUUGGGCAGUGAACCCAUCCAGUCCUGGACUUUUUUUUUGGUGUGGGGAGACUUUUUAGUGUUGUUUUGAUUUCAUUACCUGUUAUUGGCCUGUUCACGUUUUCUAUUUCUUCUUGAUUCAUUCUUGGUAGGUUAUAUGUGUCCAGGAAUUUAUUCAUUUCCUCUAGGUUUAUUAGUGAAUAGUUGCUCAUAAUAGUCCCUGAUUCUGGUAGAAAAGAUAUCAACCUAAUGACAGAACAUGGCUCUGCAUAAUAGGGUUUUUUUGACACUAGCAGUUCACCUCAAUGAGUUCUCCAACCACUUAUCUUUCCUUUGCUUCUUCUUUUGGUUUGAGUUCUUAUAUUAGCUUUUAAAAUAAACUUAUAGAUCAUAAUAUCCGUCGGCAGAAGGAUAGAUUAUUAUUGGAGGGUAAGUUAUGAAAACUUGUAUUCACGUUAAUUGUCAUCUUUGUGGUGACAGCUGUAUUGAAUUAAAAUGAACAACAAGCACUAAACUAUCUUGUUACAUACUGGGGUGAAGCAUACAUAAGGUGUACCCCUUCCUGGGACAUUUUGGAGUAAUAGCUAGGAAUUUAUCACACUUCAUUUGUUAAAAGAAAUAAACCUUUGCUCUCUCUACUCACUGACAUUGGUAACUUCUUCUGACUCAAAAGAGUACUACUGGAACAAGCCUCCAAAAAAAGGUGUCUUUGGGGUCUUGAUUACUCAUGUUGUUCUUCCAGCCUUUUUUAUGGAAGUUGGUCGGUGCCAGCUUCUGUUUUGUACUCAGUUUUCAGCCUGGGAUCCUCCCAAGACUAAAUGGACUGAGAUUGCUAAUAACUCUAAAGAAUGAAGUACAAUGCCUUAGAAAUCUGGUAAACUGAACUACCAGGAACACUAGCAGAAAAUAAGAUUUUAGAUUUAGAGUUUUCUUAGAGCUUAUUUAUUUAAUAAUGAGAGCAGGGGAUAGGAGACUCAAAGUGCAACCAUUCCCUUUUGCAGAAGCACAACCUCAAUUGCCUAGACAAGCAUGUUUUCCACUGUGAAUGGCUCAGAAUUAUCAUUGCAACAUAGGUAAAACACUUUGUUAUCACUGGUAAACCUACUUUUAUUAAUAAUAUUGGAAAUCGAAACUUAAUACCUGUGACUUGAGCCAAAAACAGGAAAAAACUGGAAAUUCCAAACUGAAGCAUUUUUUAAAAAGUAAUCAGUAACCAAAACAAAGACAUCAAGUGAACUUGCUUUAACUAUCAUAAAUACUUUGAAGCAAAAUAUCUAUUCAGCUCAACAAACUAAAGCAUCUGGCUAUAGAAUUAUGAGAAAAUGAAUUCAUCUCCCUGGGCUUUCAUUUCCUCAUCUGUAAAAUAAAGAAUUUGGUCUUGGUGAUUCAUAAUCUCCCUUUAGGGAGAGCUGGCAUUCUGUUGUAUGUAUUAUUGAAUUCAAUAUUAACUACUCAUUUACUUUGUUCUAGUGUUUGGAUUGCCCUUAAAAUAAUAGACUACUACUAAGGUCUCUGUUUUGAAUUGUAUACAAUAUGGCAUUGGGGCAAACAGCUCUCCAGAGUGUUUAUUCUUAUAUUGUUUAUUUUUUUUCCUAGCCAUGCAGGAUCAUUUGCCUUCCUGCAAGAUGUUCUUCAAUAAAACAGGAUUAGCAAUGCUGAUAAUGGAGAUAUUUGCCAGAGUGUAAGUGGGACAAGAAGAACAGAUAAAUGCAAAGACAACGGAAACUGAAGAGCAUAGAAAAUGGCAAAAGAGGAAGAAUUUAGAAGAUAUUUGUCAAAGAUCGGAUGGUUGUAGAUGUGUGGUGUUAUUUCUGAGGCCUCUGUUCUGUUCCAUUUGUCUGUAUAUCUGUUUUGGCACCAGCACCAUGCUGUUUUGGUUACUGUACCCUUGUAGUAUAAUUUGAAGUCAGGUAGUGUGAUACCUAUAGCUAGGUUAUUUUUGCUUAGGACUGUCUUAGCUAUGUGGGCUCAUUUUUGGUUCCAUAUAAAAUUUAAAGUAGUUUUUUCUAAUUCUAUGAAACUGACAAAAAUAAGUAAUGGGGAAAAAAUUCCCUAUUUAAUAAAUAGUGUUGGGAAAACUGGCUAGCCAUAUGCAGAAAACUGAAACUGGACCCCUUCCUUACACCUUAUACAAAAAUUAACUCCAGAUGGAUUAAAGAUUUAAAUGUUAGACCUAAACCCAUAAAAACCCUAGAAGAAAACUUAGGCAAUACCAUUCAGGACAUAGGCAUGGGCAAAGACUUCAUGACUAAAACACCAAAAGCAAAAGCAACAAAAGCCAAAAUUGACAAAUGGGAUAUAAUGAAACUAAAGAGCCUCUGCACAGCAGAAGAAACUAUCAUCAGAGUGAACAGGCAACCCACAGAAUGGGAGAAAAUUUCUGCAAUAUGUCCAUCUGACAAAGGGCUAAUAUGCAGAAUCUACAAAGAACUUAAAAAAAUUUACAAGAAAAAAACAAACAACCUCAUCAAAAAGUGGACAAAGGAUAUGAACAGACACUUCUCAAAAGAAAACAUUUAUGUAGCGAACAAACAUAUGAAGAAAAGCUCAUCAUCACUGGUCAUUAGAGAAAUGCAAAUCAAAACCACAAUGAGAUACCAUCUCAUGCCAAUUAGAAUGGCGAUCAUUAAAAAGUCAGGAAACAACAGAUGCUGGCAAGGAUGUGGAGAAAUAGGAAUGCUUUUACACUGUUGGUGGGAGUGUAAAUUAGUUCAACUAUUGUUGAAGACAGUGUGGCAAUUGCUGAAGGAUAUAGAAUCAGAAAUACCAUUUGACCCAGCCAUCCCAUUACUGAGUAUAUACCCCAGGGAUUAUAAAUCAUUCUACUAUAAAGACACACAUACACGUAUGUUUAUUACAGCACUGUUCACAAUAGCAAAGACUUGGAAUCAACCCAAAUGCCCAUCAAUGAUAGACUGGACAAAGAAAACGUGGCACAUAUACACCAUGGAAUACUAUGCAGCCAUAAAAAAGAAUGAGUUCACGUCCUUUGCAGGGGCAUGGAUGAAGCUGGAAACCAUCAUUCUCAGAAAACUAACACAGGAACAGAAAACCAAACACCACAUGUUCUCACUCACAAGUGGGAGUUGAACAAUGAGAAAACAUGGACACAGGGAGGGAAACAUCACACACGAGGGCCUGUUGGAGGCUGGGGGGCUAGGGGAGAGAUAGCAUUAGGAGAAAUACCUAAUAUAGAUGAUGGGUUGAUGGGUACAGCAAACCACCAUGGCAUGUGUAUUUGUAGGUAACAAACCUGCACAUUCUGCACAUGUAUCUCACAACUUAAAAUAUAGCAAAAAAAAUUUUUUUUAAAAAGAAGAUAUUUGCUUAUGUGUCAUGCUGGGAUAGUGUUGUCCACUGAAAAUUCAAGUACACUUAUAAUGUAUAUUUAGCUACUGGUUGUGAUCUUUUAUAUAUCCUGCUUUUAGAGCUUUAAAAUAAAAAUAUGUGGCUAGAUGGACACAUAAUUACUCAUAGAGUUUUCUCUUUCUCUUCUUUCUCCUCUGCCUAUUUCUGAAGGUAUUUUGGGGACCAAGAAAAAAACUGACUAUGCCCCUAUAAUAUGCCAUUUUAAAAAUUGGAUCCUGAGUAUGUUCACAGGUCUGCAAACCCUUAUGUUUAAGGUUUAGUUGCAGGAAAGAUCACCUAAUAAGUCAUAUUGUAUUUCAAUUUUCUAUAAUAUUCCAGCAUGUUGUUAAAUAUUUUUAUUGAUGAGGAAUUAAUUGCCUCCCAUGGAAGUCUGUUAAAUCUUUGAAUAGCUCUACUGUUUCAAGUUUUCUACUUAUGCCAAGCAAAGAGCUUUACUUUUUAACUGUUUAUUCUAAUUCAUCUCCUCUGGACCAUGUAUGACAAAUCUAAUGCUGCCUGUACAUGAUAGACCUUCAAACUUGUAAAGAUAGUGGUCCUUCUUCCCACUAUGACUUCAGCCCUGAGUCUUCUCCUGGCUAUACCAAAUAUUCAAAAUCUAUUCAACCUUUCCUCAUGUGACUUAAUUUGGAGUCCCCUCACCAUGCUGGUUCUCUAAACACAUUUUAGCUUGUUUGGGCAUGUUUUAAGAUGUGGCUUUCUGAAAUGAAUGCAGUACUUCAGGAGUUAAUCAGAGCACAAGAAGAUAGGACUGUCACCUGCUUCAUUCUACAUACUAUAUUUCUGUUAAUUCAGCCUAAAGUAAAUCUGCUACCUAUUCAAUCAUAUUUUAUAUUUAUCCUACUACCAAGUAAAAUUAUUAGUAUAUAUGCUAAAUAGAGUUUUUUAACCAUUUUACAUGUACAAUUGCUUUUAUGUUAAACAUGUAUAUUAAAUUUCAUAUUGUAAAAUUGGACCCAUUCAAAUCUGGCAAGAGAUCUUUUUGCGGGAUUCUAAUUUGGUUAUCUGACAUACUGUCUUAUAUACUUCUUUUUUCUAGCUUUAUUGAGAUACACUUGACAAAUAAAAAUUGUAUAUAUUUAAAGUAUAUGACAUGAUGAUUUGAUAUACAUUGUAAAAUGAUUGUCAAGAUGAAAUUAAUUAACUAUCCAUUACCACAUGUAGCUACCAUUUAUUAUGUUGAAAAUACAAUCUACUCUCUUAGCAAAUUUCAAGAAUGCAAUACAGUAUUAUUAAUUAUAGUCAUCAUGCUGUACAUUAGAUCCCCAGAAUUUACUCAUAGAUUUACUCAUAAAUUUGCACACAUCAGCCAACAUCUCCCCAUUUUCUCCACUUCCCAGCCUCUGGCAACCUAUGUUUUACAUUCUGCUUCUAUGUGCUCUACUUCUUUAGAUCCCACAUAUACAUGAGAUAGUAUACUAUUUUUCUUUCUUUCUGAGUCUGGCUUCUUUCACUUAGCAUAAUGUCUUCCAGGUUCCUCUAUGUUUUCAGAAAUGGCAUGAUUUCCUUCUUUUUUAUUGUUAAAUACUAUUCCAUUGUAUAUAUACAUUUUCUUUUUUUCAUAAAGGAAAUAACAUUUUUUAUUAUUUUGGAGGGUGGGUGGUUUAAGUACUUUUUAAAUUUUUUUCUUCCAAAUUUUAUUUUAGGUUCAAGGAGUACAUGUGCAGGUUUGUUACUAGAUAAUUUGCAUGUCAUGGGGGUUUAGUAGUCUGAUUAUUUUAUCACCCAGGUAAUGAGCAUAGUACCCAAUGGGUUAUUUUUUGAUUCUUGCCCUUCUCCCUCUCUCCACCCUCAAUUAGGCCCCAGUAUCUAUCAAGCCCUUCUUAGUAUCCAUGUGUAUUCAGUGUUUGGCUUUCAGUUGUGAGAACGUGUAGUAUUUGGUUUAUGCAUUAAUUCACUUAGGAUAAUGGCCGCUUGCAGCAUCCAUAUUACAGAAAACACUUAAUUUUUUAUGGCUUCAUAGUAUUCCAUGGUGUAUAUGUAUGACGUUUGCUUUAUGCAGUCCACCACUGAUAAGCAUCUAGGUUGAUUUCAUGUGUUUGCUAUUGUGAAUAGUGCUGCAAUGAACAUAUAUGUGCAUGUGUCUUUACACUACAAUUUAUAUUCCUUUGGGUCUAUAUCCAGUGAUGGGACUGCUGGGUCAAAUGGUAAUUCUGUUUUAAAGUCUUUGAGAAAUCUCCAAACUGCUUUCCACAGUGGCUGAACUAAUUUACAUUCCCACUAGCAGUGUGUAAGAGUUCCCUUUCCUCCACAACCUUGACAUCAUCUGUUAUUUUUUGACUCUUUAAUAAUAGCCAUUCUGACUGGUGUGAAGUGGUAUCUCAUUUUAUACCACAUUUUCUUUAUUUAUCAGUGGACGUUUAGAUUAUAUUGAUAUAUUGGAUCUUGCGAAUAAUGCUGCAAUGAAUAUGGUGAUGACAAUAUCUCUUGGAUAUACUGCUUUCAUUUCCUUUAAAUAUAUAUCCAGAAAUGGAAUUGCUGGCUCCUGUGGUAAUUCUCUUUUAAAUUUUUUGAGGAACCUCCAUACUUUUUUCCAUAAUGGUUGUACCAACUUACAUUCACUACAACAGUGUACAAGGGUUUCCUUUUUUCCACAUCCUUACUAACACUUAUCUUUUGACUUUUUGAUAAUAGCCAUCCUAAUAGGUAUGAAGUAAUAUGUCAUUACAGUUUUAAUUUGCAUUUACCUGAUGAUUAUUGAUGCUGAGCACCUUUUUACAUACUUGUUGGCCAUUUGUAUGUCCUCUUUGAAAAAUAUCUAUUCAGGUCCUCUGAUCAUUUUUUAAUCAGAUUUUCUUUUUUACUUUUGACUUGUAGGAGUUCCUUAUAUAUUUAGACAUUAACCACUUGUGGAAUGUUUGACUUGAAAAUAUUUUCUCUAUUUCUGGGGUUUGCCUUUUCAUUUUGUUGUUUUGCAGAAACUUUUUAGUUUGAUACAGUCCCACUUGUUUUUUUUUGUUGUUGCCUGUGUUUUCACCAUCAUAUUUAACAAAUCAUUCCAAGACCAAUGUCAAGGAGCUUUUUCUCUAUAUUUUCUUUUAGAAGUUUUUGUUCAGAACUUACAUGUAAGUUUAAUCUGUUCUGAGUUAAUUUUUUCUUAUGGUAUAUGCUAAGGGUGAAAUUACAUCCUUUUGAGUCUGGAUAUGCUGUUUCUCAACACCAGUUAUUGAAAAGACUAUCUUUUACCAAUUGUGCAUUCUUGGCAUCCUUGUCAAAGAUUAGUUGACCAUAUAUAUGUGAGUUCAUUACUGGACUCACUAUUCUCUUCCAUUGGUCUAUUUGUCUGUUCUUAUGCCAGUAUGAUACUAUUCUGAUUACGUAGCUUUGCAAUAUAGUUUGAAAUCAUGAAGUAUGAUGCCUUCGGCUUUGUUCUUUUUGCUCAAGAUUGGUUUUGCUAUUUGGGGACUUUUGUGGUUACAUACUAAUUUUAGGAUUUUUUGCUAUUUUUUUGAAAAAUGAUAUUGGAAUUUUGUUAGGAAUUACAUUAAAUCUGUAGAUCACUUUGGAUAGUAUGGAUACUUUAUUAAUUCUUCCAAUUCAUGAACAUGGGGUAUCUUUUCAUAUAUAUGUGUCUUCUUUAAUUUUUGACAUAAAUAUUUUAUAUUUUUCAGUGUACAUAUCUCUCAUCUCCUUGUUCAAUUUCUAAGUAUUGUUUUUGAUGCUAUCCUAAAUUGAAUUGUUUUCUUAAUUUCUUUUUCAAAUAGUUUACUGUAGUGUGUAGAAACACUACUGAUUUUUUAUUACUAUUAUACUUUAAGUUCUGGGAUACAUGUGCAGAAUAUACAGGUUUGUUACAUAGGUAUACAUGUGCCAUGGUGGUUUGCUGCACCCAUCAACCCGUCAUCUACAUUAGGUAUUUCUCCUAGUACUAUCCCUCCUCUAGCCUCCCACCUUCCAACAGACCCCAGUGUGUGAUGUUCCCCUCCCUGUGUUCAUGUGUUCUCAUUGCUCAACUCCCACUUAUGAGUGAGAACAUGCAGUGUUUGGUUUUCUGUUCCUGUGUUAGUUUGCUGAGAAUGAUGAUUUCCAGCUUCACCCAUGUCCCUGCAAAGAACAUGACUCAUUCUUUUUAUGGCUGCAUAGUAUUCCAUGGUGUAUAUGUGCCACAUUUUCUUUAUCCAGUCUAUCGUUGAUGGGCAUUUGGGUUGAUUCCAAGUCUUUGCUAUUGGGAACAGUGCUGCAGUAAACAUACAUGUGCAUGAAACACUACUGAUUUUUGUAUGUUGAUUUUUAUAUUCUUCCACUUUACAGGAUUUAUUUAUUAGUUGGAACAGUUUUUGGAUGGAGUCUCUGGCAUUUUCCUUUUUUUAUUUUCGUGGGUGCAUAGUAGACGUAUAUAUUUAUGGGAUACAUGAGAUGUUUUGGUACAGGAAUGCCAUAUGAGAUAAGCACAUCAUGGAGAAUGUGGUAUCCAUCCCCUCAAGCAUUUAUCCUUUGAGUUACAAACAAUGCAAAUUAUACUCUUUAAGUUAGUUUAAAAUGUACAAUUAAGUUAUUAUAGACUAUAGUUACCCUAUAGUGCUAUCAAAUAGUAGGUGUAUUAUUUCUUACUGUUUUUGUACCCAAUAAGUAUCCCAAUAUACUCCCCAGCCCCCACUACCCUUCCCAGCCUCUGGUAACAAUUCUUCUGCUCUCUAUGUCCAUGAGUUUAAUUGUUUUGAUUUUCAGAUCCCACAAAUAGGUGAGAACAUGCGAUGUUUGUCUUUCUGUAUCUGAUUCAUUUUGUUAAACAAAAUGAUCUCCAGUUCCAUCCAUGUUGUUGCAAGUGAUUGAAUCACAUUCUUUUUAUCACAGAAUCAUGCUCCAUUGUGAAUAUGUACC
rnacentral:lncRNA from 1 species